GGCUCUAUGGAUUAGUUGGUUAAAGUUCCUGUCUCGUAAACAGGAGAUCCUGGGUUCAACUCCCAGUAGGGCCU